UACGUAGGAUGCGAGCGUUGUCCGGAAUCAUUGGGCGUAAAGCGAACGUAGGCGGUCUGUUAAGUCCGUUCUUAAAGACCGGGGCUCAACCUCGGGACUGGAAUGGAUACUGUCAGGCUGGAGGACGUCAGAGGGAAGUGGAAUUCCUAGUGUAGCGGUGAAAUGCGCAGAUAUUAGGAGGAACACCGGUGGCGAAGGCGCCACUCUGGGCCGAAACUGACGCUGAGGAGCGAAAGCGUGGGUAGCAAACAGG
rnacentral:rRNA from 1 species